GAGGAUGUAGCUCAGUGGUGAAGCACUUGCCUAGCAUGCACAGGUCCUGGGUUCCAUCCCCAGCACCUCA
rnacentral:tRNA from 1 species